rnacentral:tRNA from 1 species
GUCUCUGUAGCGCAAUGGGUAGCGCGUUGGACUUCUAAUCCAAAGGACAUGCAUUUCGAAUCCCACCUGGGAUG